GCAAUGAUGAAUAUCUGGUUUUGAUCAGCGAGAUGAAAUUACACAACGGAUUCCUCUAAGAAGUUCUGAGCUC